rnacentral:rRNA from 1 species
UACAGAGGUCUCAAGCGUUGUUCGGAUUCAUUGGGCGUAAAGGGUGUGUAGGCGGCGCGCUAAGUCGGGUGUGAAAUUUCGGAGCUUAACUCCGAAACUGCAUUCGAUACUGGCGUGCUUGAGGACUGGAGAGGAGACUGGAAUUCAUGGUGUAGCAGUGAAAUGCGUAGAGAUCAUGAGGAAGACCAGUGGCGAAGGCGGUUCUCUGGGCCUUACCUGACACUGAGGAGCGAAAGCGUGGGGAGCGAACAGG